GACGAACGCUGGCGGCGUGCUUAACACAUGCAAGUCGAACGAUGAACCCGGAGCUUGCUCCGGUGGAUUAGUGGCGAACGGGUGAGUAACACGUGAGUAACCUGCCCUUGACUCUGGGAUAACUGCGGGAAACUGUAGCUAAUACCGGAUACGACCCUCGGCGGCAUCGCCAGGGGGUGGAAAGAAUUUCGGUCAAGGAUGGACUCGCGGCCUAUCAGCUAGUUGGUGAGGUAACGGCGCACCAAGGCGACGACGGGUAGCCGGCCUGGGAGGGUGACCGGGCACACUGGGACUGAGACACGGCCCAGACUCCUACGGGAGGCAGCAGUGGGGAAUAUUGCACAAUGGGCGCAAGCCUGAUGCAGCAACGCCGCGUGAGGGAUGACGGCCUUCGGGUUGUAAACCUCUUUUAGUAGGGAAGAAGCGAAAGUGACGGUACCUGCAGAAAAAGCACCGGCUAACUACGUGCCAGCCGCCGCGGUAA
rnacentral:rRNA from 1 species